rnacentral:rRNA from 1 species
UUAAGUUAUUAAGGGCGCACGGUGGAUGCCUUGGCACUAGAAGCCGAUGAAGGACGUUACUAACGACGAUAUGCUUUGGGGAGCUGUAAGUAAGCUUUGAUCCAGAGAUUUCCGAAUGGGGAAACCCAGCAUGAGUUAUGUCAUGUUAUCGAUAUGUGAAUACAUAGCAUAUCAGAAGGCACACCCGGAGAACUGAAACAUCUUAGUACCCGGAGGAAGAGAAAGAAAAUUCGAUUCCCUUAGUAGCGGCGAGCGAAACGGGAAGAGCCCAAACCAACAAGCUUGCUUGUUGGGGUUGUAGGACACUCUAUACGGAGUUACAAAGGACGACAUUAGACGAAUCAUCUGGAAAGAUGAAUCAAAGAAGGUAAUAAUCCUGUAGUCGAAAAUGUUGUCUCUCUUGAGUGGAUCCUGAGUACGACGGAGCACGUGAAAUUCCGUCGGAAUCUGGGAGGACCAUCUCCUAAGGCUAAAUACUCUCUAGUGACCGAUAGUGAACCAGUACCGUGAGGGAAAGGUGAAAAGCACCCCGGAAGGGGAGUGAAAUAGAACCUGAAACCGUGUGCUUACAAGUAGUCAGAGCCCGUUAAUGGGUGAUGGCGUGCCUUUUGUAGAAUGAACCGGCGAGUUACGAUUUGAUGCAAGGUUAAGCAGUAAAUGUGGAGCCGUAGCGAAAGCGAGUCUGAAUAGGGCGUUUAGUAUUUGGUCGUAGACCCGAAACCAGGUGAUCUACCCUUGGUCAGGUUGAAGUUCAGGUAACACUGAAUGGAGGACCGAACCGACUUACGUUGAAAAGUGAGCGGAUGAACUGAGGGUAGCGGAGAAAUUCCAAUCGAACCUGGAGAUAGCUGGUUCUCUCCGAAAUAGCUUUAGGGCUAGCCUCAAGUGAUGAUUAUUGGAGGUAGAGCACUGUUUGGACGAGGGGCCCCUCUCGGGUUACCGAAUUCAGACAAACUCCGAAUGCCAAUUAAUUUAACUUGGGAGUCAGAACAUGGGUGAUAAGGUCCGUGUUCGAAAGGGAAACAGCCCAGACCACCAGCUAAGGUCCCAAAAUAUAUGUUAAGUGGAAAAGGAUGUGGCGUUGCCCAGACAACUAGGAUGUUGGCUUAGAAGCAGCCAUCAUUUAAAGAGUGCGUAAUAGCUCACUAGUCGAGUGACACUGCGCCGAAAAUGUACCGGGGCUAAACAUAUUACCGAAGCUGUGGAUUGUCCUUUGGACAAUGGUAGGAGAGCGUUCUAAGGGCGUUGAAGCAUGAUCGUAAGGACAUGUGGAGCGCUUAGAAGUGAGAAUGCCGGUGUGAGUAGCGAAAGACGGGUGAGAAUCCCGUCCACCGAUUGACUAAGGUUUCCAGAGGAAGGCUCGUCCGCUCUGGGUUAGUCGGGUCCUAAGCUGAGGCCGACAGGCGUAGGCGAUGGAUAACAGGUUGAUAUUCCUGUACCACCUAUAAUCGUUUUAAUCGAUGGGGGGACGCAGUAGGAUAGGCGAAGCGUGCGAUUGGAUUGCACGUCUAAGCAGUAAGGCUGAGUAUUAGGCAAAUCCGGUACUCGUUAAGGCUGAGCUGUGAUGGGGAGAAGACAUUGUGUCUUCGAGUCGUUGAUUUCACACUGCCGAGAAAAGCCUCUAGAUAGAAAAUAGGUGCCCGUACCGCAAACCGACACAGGUAGUCAAGAUGAGAAUUCUAAGGUGAGCGAGCGAACUCUCGUUAAGGAACUCGGCAAAAUGACCCCGUAACUUCGGGAGAAGGGGUGCUCUUUAGGGUUAACGCCCAGAAGAGCCGCAGUGAAUAGGCCCAAGCGACUGUUUAUCAAAAACACAGGUCUCUGCUAAACCGUAAGGUGAUGUAUAGGGGCUGACGCCUGCCCGGUGCUGGAAGGUUAAGAGGAGUGGUUAGCUUCUGCGAAGCUACGAAUCGAAGCCCCAGUAAACGGCGGCCGUAACUAUAACGGUCCUAAGGUAGCGAAAUUCCUUGUCGGGUAAGUUCCGACCCGCACGAAAGGCGUAACGAUUUGGGCACUGUCUCAACGAGAGACUCGGUGAAAUCAUAGUACCUGUGAAGAUGCAGGUUACCCGCGACAGGACGGAAAGACCCCGUGGAGCUUUACUGUAGCCUGAUAUUGAAAUUCGGCACAGCUUGUACAGGAUAGGUAGGAGCCUUUGAAACGUGAGCGCUAGCUUACGUGGAGGCGCUGGUGGGAUACUACCCUAGCUGUGUUGGCUUUCUAACCCGCACCACUUAUCGUGGUGGGAGACAGUGUCAGGCGGGCAGUUUGACUGGGGCGGUCGCCUCCUAAAAGGUAACGGAGGCGCUCAAAGGUUCCCUCAGAAUGGUUGGAAAUCAUUCAUAGAGUGUAAAGGCAUAAGGGAGCUUGACUGCGAGACCUACAAGUCGAGCAGGGUCGAAAGACGGACUUAGUGAUCCGGUGGUUCCGCAUGGAAGGGCCAUCGCUCAACGGAUAAAAGCUACCCCGGGGAUAACAGGCUUAUCUCCCCCAAGAGUUCACAUCGACGGGGAGGUUUGGCACCUCGAUGUCGGCUCAUCGCAUCCUGGGGCUGUAGUCGGUCCCAAGGGUUGGGCUGUUCGCCCAUUAAAGCGGUACGCGAGCUGGGUUCAGAACGUCGUGAGACAGUUCGGUCCCUAUCCGUCGUGGGCGUAGGAAAUUUGAGAGGAGCUGUCCUUAGUACGAGAGGACCGGGAUGGACAUACCUCUGGUGUACCAGUUGUCGUGCCAACGGCAUAGCUGGGUAGCUAUGUGUGGACGGGAUAAGUGCUGAAAGCAUCUAAGCAUGAAGCCCCCCUCAAGAUGAGAUUUCCCAACUUCGGUUAUAAGAUCCCUCAAAGAUGAUGAGGUUAAUAGGUU